rnacentral:rRNA from 1 species
UACAGAGGUCUCAAGCGUUGUUCGGAUUCAUUGGGCGUAAAGGGUGCGUAGGCGGCGCGGUAAGUCGGGUGUGAAAUCUCGGAGCUUAACUCCGAAACUGCAUUCGAUACUGCCGUGCUUGAGGACUGGAGAGGAGACUGGAAUUCCUGGUGUAGCAGUGAAAUGCGUAGAUAUCAGGAGGAACGCCAAUGGCGAAGGCAAGUCUCUGGACAGUUCCUGACGCUCAUGCACGAAGGCCAGGGGAGCAAACGGG